AAGAAGCUUCUGUCCACGUUUGGUAAAAAUACAGAAUGUUUUAAAAACCUUAACUGCAGACUGUCUGUAAUAUAGACUGGAAGAAAUACUAAUAUAUAUAAAAAAGAAGAUGUGGUAUGAUUGCCAAUAAGACAACUAUCCACAAAAGACCAAAAUGACACAAACAUUAACAACUAUAGGUCACCGUACGGCCUUCAACAAUGAGCAAAGCCCAUACCACGUAGUCAGCUAUAAAAGCCGAAAAGACAAAGUAAAACAAUUCAAACGAGAAAACUAACGGCCUUAUUUAUGUAAAAAAAUGAACGAAAAACAAAUAUGUAACACAUAAACAAACGACAACGACUGAAUUACAGGCUCCUGACUUGGGACAGGCACAUACAUAAAUAAUGUAAGUCCAUUUAUAAGUAAAAUACAGAUACACAGG
rnacentral:lncRNA from 1 species